rnacentral:piRNA from 1 species
UGGGUUAACAUUGUCAGGGACCUCUGUGA